rnacentral:rRNA from 1 species
GACGAACACUGGCGGCGUGCUUAACACAUGCAAGUCGAACGGAAAGGCCCUGCUUUUGUGGGGUGCUCGAGUGGCGAACGGGUGAGUAACACGUGAGUAACCUGCCCUUGACUUUGGGAUAACUUCAGGAAACUGGGGCUAAUACCGGAUAGGAGCUCCUGCUGCAUGGUGGGGGUUGGAAAGUUUCGGCGGUUGGGGAUGGACUCGCGGCUUAUCAGCUUGUUGGUGGGGUAGUGGCUUACCGAGGCUUUGACGGGUAGCCGGCCUGAGAGGGUGACCGGCCACAUUGGGACUGAGAUACGGCCCAGACUCCUACGGGAGGCAGCAGUGGGGAAUAUUGCACAAUGGGCGGAAGCCUGAUGCAGCAACGCCGCGUGCGGGAUGACGGCCUUCGGGUUGUAAACCGCUUUCGCCUGUGACGAAGCGUGAGUGACGGUAAUGGGUAAAGAAGCACCGGCUAACUACGUG